ensembl:lncRNA
UGAUUGUCUAACUGUGGUAAUACUUGAGUACAGUCACUUGGUUUCACUUCUGGAUGUUUUCAGAGGGCUUUUGCAAGGUCUUUAUGGUUGAAUUCUUGCCCUUGGUUUCACAGGGGAUUAUAUUAUCAAAGUACUUUUGGUGUUAUGGCUUGAACUAUGAUCCAGUAGAUGGCACUUAAGCAUAAUGGCUGGUAGACAGGGUAUUAUUUUGUGUGGCUCCUCUGUAUUUCCUCAUUUUUGCAGCCAUACCCCUUCUCAGUGCUCUGAGACUAUGGACUCCUCUCUGACGUAAGUGCUGGCCACAGAUCUCAGCUCGGCACUCCCAGGCUAUGUGCCGCAACCUUGGGGGUCUCCGUUGCUCGUCCCGCGGGUUGGGACAAACUGGCACCCAACGUGAGAGCUCAAGUACGAGGGACACAGUGAGGGACACCGUCGAGGUCAGCCGGCACAGAAGGAUUAAGAAACCUGGAGAAAAGAGCGCCGUGGGAACCUGCCACGGACUCACGCUCCGAUUGAAGGAACAUCAGUCCACAAAGAAGAGAGAAAAACAACAACAACCAAAAAAACACAACAACAACAAAAAUGCAAGAACUCUGACAACUCGAAUAGUCAAUGUGCCCUCUAUCCGCAACCAACUUCACCACUUCUGUAGCAAGGAUUCUCAACUGGGAUGA